UACACUCCUGCGGGAGGCAGCAGUGGGGAAUAUUGGACAAUGGGCGCAAGCCUGAUCCAGCCAUGCCGCGUGAGUGAUGAAGGCCCUAGGGUUGUAAAGCUCUUUCACCGGUGAAGAUAAUGACGGUAACCGGAGAAGAAGCCCCGGCUAACUUCGUGCCAGCAGCCGCGGUAAUACGAAGGGGGCUAGCGUUGUUCGGAUUUACUGGGCGUAAAGCGCACGUAGGCGGACUAUUAAGUCAGGGGUGAAAUCCCGGGGCUCAACCCCGGAACUGCCUUUGAUACUGGUAGUCUUGAGUUCGAGAGAGGUGAGUGGAAUUCCGAGUGUAGAGGUGAAAUUCGUAGAUAUUCGGAGGAACACCAGUGGCGAAGGCGGCUCACUGGCUCGAUACUGACGCUGAGGUGCGAAAGCGUGGGGAGCAAACAGGAUUAGAUACCCUUGUAGUCCCAUG
rnacentral:rRNA from 1 species